AAGCUCCCUCUGGGAAUAUAAAAAGCCCCAGCUCUGCUUACCCAUCCUUGCAAAUCCCAGCAGCAGCGUGGGAAGAAGGAGCAGGAAGCACUGCAUACUCCUCUUGAGAGAAAUCACUAGUUUUUGCUAAAAGGGAACAACUCUCAUCUCCAUUGAGCAGGAUUCAGCCCUGCAUGCCUCCAGAAGUAUUGAAAAAUAUGUCCUCAAGAAUGAUGUCCUCCAUCAGAUCAAAACCCUCUGCAGCUCACAGAAGGCCCUUUGCAGCUGGAUUCAUCUGUGAUUUUGAAAGAAGUAAAAAUAUUUAUUUGAGAAA